GAGAGAGAGAGAGAGAGAGAGAGAGAGAGAGAGAGAGAGAGAGAGAGUGUGUGUGUGAAAGGGGGAGGGGCAGAGAGCGAGGGAGACACAGAAUCCAAAGCAGCUCCGGGCUGUCAGCACAGAACCUCAUGCAGGGCUCGAACUGGUGAACACCAAGAUCAUGACUUGAGCCAAAGUUGGAUGCUUAACUGACUGAGCCACCCAGGCACCCUUGUAAUUUUCAGUUUUUAUAAUGUGACACUUCUUUGCUCUCUGACAUUUUUGAGAAUUUCUUUGUCUUCAGUCUGAACUUCUGCUACAAUAUGCCUUGAGGGGAUGGAUUCAACACCCAGUGGGCACUCAAGGAGUCCCUUCAGUCUGGAAGUCCAUGUGCAUAUAGUCCAUUGUUUUUUCUAAUUUUUUUUUGAGGUAUUUCAUAUUGAAGGCCUUCUUCACGCAUAUGAUGGUGCUUUGCUGAACCUCGAUGCUGAACAGAAAAGCACUAGUGAUCUUACUGGAAGAUCCAUGGGAAUUGAUGGCACUUGUUGGCUAAUGACAAGGAAAAGAACCCAAGAGGAUUUUCCGCCCUGCUGGCCUGGGCGAGACAGGACACUCUCCACUUCUGGCAAGUUAGCCUUCACCUCAAUGGCCUUCAGAUGAUACUAAGGUAACAAGAGGUAAGCAGCUUGGAAAACCAUCAGUUUAAAUCAGCUUAAAGCUCAUAUCCAAAGCAUUU
rnacentral:lncRNA from 1 species